ACCCUCUCAGGAUAGUAUCUGGAGAGUUUCCAGUACCCUACCAGUCUUGACUACGGGAGGGAAGUCAAGCACAGGCCUACCCAUUCCAUUCCUAGCUUGGACGGUGGCUAGCGAGUGGAGGUCAACCUGCUACAAGU